CUUUGCAAGUGUGACUCGAUAGUUGGGCUACUAGUAAAGCGUGUUUUCAGACAUGUGUGCUAUCUUUUAGCUUGAGUUAAUACAAGCUUGGGGGGGCGCUGUGAUGAAUAGGAGUAGACCACACACACAAACAGCAAAUAAGAAAUAGCCUUUGACCAGCAUGACUACAAAUUUAUUGCAGAAACAAAUCUCAGUGCAACUGUGGGCUCGGACCAGCUGGUGCUUUGCAGGGGCAGGAUCCGGACCCAGGGGACCGGGAGACUCCGCAUCUGGAGGUGCAAAUGAAUGUUUGCCUGCUAAUUUCCCCAGCGAGAUCGGGUGCGUGGCGGCAUCCAGAGGCACGUACUUCAUAUGAUGACUGUACGAGAAGGAGGAACAGGAGGAGCACUGCCAGAGCCCUGCAAAAUGACCUCCAGCAGGCCACAAAUGUAAGCGGUCACAAACCGACUCCAUGAGGGUGGCAUGAGGGCCCGACGUCCUCAGAUGAAAGCAGGUUGACGCUGAGCAUAUGUGGCAGACGUGACGGAGUCUGGAGACGCCGUGGAGAACGUUCUGCUCUCUGCAACAUCCUCCAGCAUGAGGU